CAGCCCUGCUGGCUCCUUGCUAACUUGGGGAAAAUGGGAGGAGGAUGGACUGUCACAGACAGAGCCUGGAUUACUUUUGGACAUUGUGAUUCUCAAGCUACCUGAGGGACAUCUGAAUCAUCAGGCUACAUCUGAAAGAGGAGAGUGUUUCCACGGUCGCCUCUACAGUAAAAUUACUUUCACCAAUAACAGAGAUAGACCUCACUGUGUAGCCAAGGAUGACCUUGAACUUCUCAUUCUCCAGCUCCCAACUUCCACAUGCUAGGACACGGGCAUGUGUCACUGUACCUGUUUUAUGCAGUACUAGGCACUAGUCAGGGCAUCACGGAUGCUUGGCAGAUGUGCUAACUGAACUGCAUAUUAUACCGUUAAUGUUAAAAAGUUCUAGUUUGCUUCUGUU
rnacentral:lncRNA from 1 species